rnacentral:lncRNA from 1 species
CACGAGUAUGAGAUUUAAAUCUAGCAACUAAAUGUGAGAAAGAUUGAUUCUUCUUUUUGCUCCUCCAAAAAAACACUACAAAACUCGAAACAGAAAGGCUUUUAGAUCUAUUGCUGCUUCUCGGGUUGUUCCUCUUCUUCUUGGUUUGGGUUUUCUUCUUCCUCUUCUUUCUUCUCUUCCUCUUCUUCGUCUUCUUCUGGUGGAUCAUAAGGCAUCGGCGGUGGCAAUGGUGUCUUCAUUGGGCUAAACUUGGGGAAAAUGUCAGGCCUCCUCCCAGGUUUGGGUCUCUCCCACUCCUAACAGUAAAUCACACCGAAAUUAAAAUCAUUUCUGGAGGAUAAAAAUAUAAAGGAUAAGAACAUUACAAGGAAACAUGGUGUUGAAUUCUACAAGAAAUGAUGAUGAUGAACACAGAUCCCUUGAAAAUUCUGUCUACAUAACACUUAAUAUGCAAAAUGGAGCCUUGCAAGCGCAUGAUGAGCUAUCAAGCACUAGGAAAAGAGAGCUUUUCUACGGAUAUUGAACAAAUGAGUAAACUGUUAACACAUGUAGAUUCAUAGACAAAGAAUAACCAAACAGUAAGCUGGCGAAAAAAGAUUUACGAUACAAACUGCUUCAAAUAGAAACAAAGAUUAUGCAACCUGAAGAGUGAAGACCUAUGAUGACUAAAGCUCUGGUAAAAUGAAAACUGAUUCCGCCUGGUUAUUAGGUCGAUUUCGUCAAGUUCGUGAUGUAAUUGUCAAAAACAGCAAUACACCAUCAAGGAUAAGCCAUGAAUGAAUUAGAAGCAUCGAGAUAAUGUAACACAAAUCUGGAGGGUAUGGCACAACAGUUUGACCAAUAGCUACUUUUAACCAAAUUAACCAUCUUUAUCCUCACUCAUCGAUUAAGCGUCAAACGAAGCAUAUUUGAAAGCGAAUUAGCUGAUUUCGAUUUGAAAUGUGAAACAGGAGAUUUUGUGGGAAGAUCCGAAAUCGAUUUUGAAGUGAGGAAUCGGAGCUUACAAUUGGGAAAUCGAGAGGAUUGCGACGAGUGAGCUUCUCUUCCUCGGGGGCCAUAGCUACAACGUGAAGCUGAUUAUUCGCUCUUCUAGCCAUCCGAAGGCUCGGGUUCCGAUGAAGAGACAAAGAACGGCGAACGGACGAUAAACCAUGGGCACGCGACGAGAAGCAAACAAGCGAGCGCGAGUCGUGUAUCGAAGAAGAGGACAUCUUCGUCGGAGAUAGAAACCCUAGAAAAUCGAGCGAAGGAGAAGGAAUCAACCUCGCAGAGCAAAGCGACGCCAUGGCUCCGGACGGGGCUAGUAAUCGAUUUUCC